CUGAGAUAGCUGCCCUGACUGUGCUGAGAUAGCUGCGCUGAGAUAGCUGCGCUGAGGUAGCUGAGAUAAAUAUCCUGACUGCGCUGAGAAGACCCAAAUUCUGCUUAAGGCUUUCCCCUCCGAAGCGUGGCUGAAUUGCUACUAAAGCUCAUUUUCUGCCGAAGCAGGUUUUCCAGCAUUGUUAACCAUUACUGAUGUGCUGUAAAUUUUCAAGAAAAAUACAGAUGGCAACAUAUACCCUAUUUUCAAGAAAAAUACAGAUGGCAACAUAUACCCUACUCCCUCCCUCUUGGUAACAUGUGCAUGAUUAAAAUAAACAUGUUAUGUGUAUGCUUGUGAUUGGUGUUCCUACUUGUGAUGCUAGUGACAGGGCUAGUAUGACUCUAUGGUCCCAAAGUAUGUUAUCCAAAUUAUGUUCCAAGCCCUUAGCACAUAUGCAGAAGAUGUGCAGCUUCGUAUACUUAGUCAAUUCAUAUUUCAACCCUAGGCACAUAUGCAGAAGUUGUGCAGCUUCGUAUACUUAGUCAAUUCAUAUUUCAACCUUAGGCACAUAUGCAGAAGUUGUGCAGCUUCAAAGACAUAAUAUCAAAUUCACAAAUCCCUUCAAGAGAUAAUAUAAAUCAUGAUUUUUCUCAAGUGGUAAAGUAUAACAUUUU
rnacentral:lncRNA from 1 species